GGGAAACAGCCCAGAUCACCGGUUAAGGCCCCUAAGUAAUUACUAAGUGAUAAAGGAUGUAAUAGUACAUAGACAACCAGGAGGUUUGCUUAGAAGCAGCAAUCCUUUAAAAAGUGCGUAAUAGCUUACUGGUCAAGUGCGUUUGCGCCGAAAAUGAAUGGGACUAAGUAAUUCGCCGAAACCGUGAGAUAAUAUCGGUAGAAGAGCGUUCUGAUUAAGUUUGAAGCAGCAAUGUAAAUUGUUGUGGACUAUUCAGAAGUGAGAAUGUCGGCUUAAGUAACGAAAACAUUGGUGGAAAUCCAAUGCCCCGAAAACCUAAGGUUUCCUUCGCAAGGUUCGUCCACGAAGGGUUAGUCAGGUUCUAAAGCAAGGUUGAAAAACGUAGUUGAUGAUUAACAGGUUAAUAUUCCUGUACUGCUCUAGAGUUUUGCUGUGAGUGACGGAGAAGGCUAUGCCAUCCAAACAUUGGUUGUUUUGGUUUAAUCUUUUGAGAUGUAGAGACUUCUAAAUAAAAAAUUAGUUGAGUUAAUAAAGAGAGUACAAAUAAUACUUCGGUAUUUAAAGUGGUUUAUGUCAUACUUCCAAGAAAAGCUCUAGCAGCGUGUAACAUAGAGCACCUGUACCGAAAACUGACACAGGUAGGUUAGUAGAAAAUACUAAGGGGCGCGAGAUAACUCUUUCUAAGGAACUCGGCAAAAUAGCUCUGUAACUUCGGAAUAAAGAGUGCCUUUUAAAAAGGCCGCAGUAAAAAGGCCCAAGCGACUGUUUACCAAAAACACAGGUCUCCGCUAAGUUGAAAAACAAUGUAUGGGGGCUGACGCCUGCCCAGUGCCGGAAGGUUAAGGAAGUUGGUUAGUGUAUGCGAAGCUAGCGACCGAAGCCCUGGUGAACGGCGGCCGUAACUAUAACGGUCCUAAGGUAGCGAAAUUCCUUGUCGGGUAAGUUCCGACCCGCACGAAAGGCGUAACGAUUUGGGUACUGUCUCAGAAAGAGACUCGGUGAAAUAGAAUUGACUGUGAAGAUGCGGUCUAAUUGCACUUGGACAGAAAGACCCUAUGAAGCUUCACUGUAGCUUGAAAUUGAUUUUGGGUUUUCCUUGCGCAGAAUAGGUGGGAGGCUAUGAGUCUAUUUUUCGGAAGAAGAUGAGCCUUAAUAUGAGAUACCACUCUGGGAAAAUUAGAAAUCUAAUAGUAUAUUAUCAUCUAAAUACUUGACAUUUUCAGGUGGGCAGUUUUACUGGGGCGGUAGCCUCCUAAAAAGUAACGGAGGCGUACAAAGGUUUUCUCAGUCUGGACGGAAAUCAGUUGUAGAGUGUAAAGACAUAAGAAAGCUUGACUGUGAGACCAAAAAGUCGAACAGAGACGAAAGUCGGUCUUAGUGAUCUGACGGUUCUGAAUGGAAAGGCCGUCACUUAACUGAUAAAAGUUACUCUAGGGAUAACAGGCUGAUCUCCCCCAAGAGUUCACAUCGACGGGGAGGUUUGGCACCUCGAUGUCGGCUCAUCGCAUCCUGGGGCGGUAGUACGUCCCAAGGGUUGCGCUGUUCGCGCAUUAAAGCGGUACGUGAGCUGGGUUCAGAACGUCGAGAGACAGUUCGGUCCAUAUCCGGUGUAAUUGUUAGAGUAUUGAAAGGACCUUUCCUUAGUACGAGAGGACCGGGAAGGACACACCUAUGAUGUACCAGUUUUUGUGCCAACAGAAAACGCUGGGUAGUUACGUGUGGAGUGGAUAACUGC
rnacentral:rRNA from 1 species